UACGUAGGUGGCAAGCGUUAUCCGGAAUUACUGGGCGUAAAGCGCACGCAGGUGGCUAUCUAAGAUUGACGUGAAAGCUUCUGGCUUAACUGGAAGAGGUCGUUGAUGACUGGAUGGUUUGAGACGAGGAGAGGGGUGCAGAAUUCCCGGUGUAGUGGUGGAAUGCGUAGAUAUCGGGAGGAAUACCAGUGGCGAAAGUGGCACCCUGGCCUUAGUAUGACGAUCAGGUGCGAAAGCGUGGGGAGCGAACGGG
rnacentral:rRNA from 1 species